rnacentral:rRNA from 1 species
CUACGGGUUGCACCAGUCGAGAAUCUUCCGCAAUGGGCGCAAGCCUGACGGAGCAAUGCCGCGUGAGGGAUGACGGCCCUAGGGUUGUAAACCUCUGUCAGAAGGGACGAAGAACGUGACGGUACCUUCAGAGGAGGCCAUGGCUAACUACGUGCCAGCAGCCGCGGUAAUACGUAGAUGGCGAGCGUUAUUCGGAUUUACUGGGCGUAAAGGGUCCGUAGGGGGUCUGCCAAGUCUGAUGUGAAAUCCUGCGGCUCAACCGCGGAACUGCAUUGGAAACUGGCGGACUAGAGUGUGCGAGGGGUGAGCGGAAUUCCUGGUGUAGCGGUGGAAUGCGUAGAUAUCAGGAAGAACACCGAUGGCGAAGGCGGCUCACUGGCGCAUCACUGACCCUGAGGGACGAAAGCGUGGGUAGCAAACAGGAUUAGAUACCCUCGUAGUC